rnacentral:rRNA from 1 species
GUUUGAUCCUGGCUCAGGAUGAACGCUGGCGGCGUGCCUAACACAUGCAAGUCGGACGGGGUCUUAGUACGGAAGUUUUCGGAUGGGAGGAUUAAGACUUAGUGGCGGACGGGUGAGUAACGCGUGGGUAACCUGCCCUGUACAGGGGGAUAACAGUUGGAAACGGCUGCUAAAACCGCAUAACAUGGAGAUACCGCAUGAUAUUUCCAUCAAAUAUUUAUAGGUACAGGAUGGGCCCGCGUCUGAUUAGCCAGUUGGCAGGGUAAUGGCCUACCAAAGCGACGAUCAGUAGCCGGCUUGAGAGAGUGACCGGCCACAUUGGGACUGAGACACGGCCCAAACUCCUACGGGAGGCAGCAGUGGGGGAUAUUGCACAAUGGGGGAAACCCUGAUGCAGCGACGCCGCGUGAGAAAGGGAGUAUUUCGGUAUGUAAAGCUCUAUCGGCAGGAAGAAAAAAA